rnacentral:rRNA from 1 species
AAACCAGCACCUCAAGUGGUCAGGAUGAUUAUUGGGCCUAAAGCAUCCGUAGCCGGCUCUGUAAGUUUUCGGUUAAAUCUGUACGCUCAACGUACAGGCUGCUGGGAAUACUGCAAAGCUAGGGAGUGGGAGAGGUAGACGGUACUCGGGAGGAAGGGGUAAAAUCCUUUGAUCUCUCGAUGACCACCUGUGGCGAAGGCGGUCUACCAGAACACGUCCGACGGUGAGGGAUGAAAGCUGGGGGAGCAAACCGGAUUAGAAACCCGAGUAGUCC